UUCUCCCUGCACUCGGCUUUUUGAGCCGUUCCCCCUCUACAUGCUGAUGCACUUGUCUGCGUUUAGGGCAGCCCAACAAAACAGUUGCCGCGGCAACGUGACCGGGACCCGCUACGUCACUUCCGGCGGAAGUGCUCUGCUCGUGGGGACGGACGCUGGGCCUGGGACACGAUGACGGCGGCAGCCAGUGGGGGACAGCAAUGAGGGGAGGGGAAAACGAGAGAGAGAGAGACCUGGUUAUGCUGCUGCCUGGGAGGAAGGAGCCGGCAGGAGUCCCCGACCUGGUUAUGCUGCUGCCUAGGAGGAAGGAGCCGGCGGAACACGAAGGAGAGGGGAGAGCCACAGAGAGUUAAGCUGCUGCCUGGGAGAAAGGAGCUGGCAGAACACGAAGGAGAGGGGAGAGCUGCAGAGAGAGAGAGAGAGAGAGAGAGAGAGAGAGAGAGAGAGAGAGAGAGAGUGUCCCUGACCUGGUUAUGCUGCUGCUUGGGAGGACGGAGCCGGCGGAAGACGAAGGAGAGGGGAGAGCCGCAUUCAGAUGCUGCCACUGCUAUGCACGUCCUUUGCCCCGUACAGCACUGCCAAUGACAGCCAGAUGCAGUCACUGUCAGUGCUGCAGCUGCUACCCAGUGACCAAUCACAGUGACAGGGGCGUGCUUUCAGAUAAGCUGAAAGCACUUCCCUGCUGUUCUGCGGCACUUGGGCAGGUGCCGCUUCUAUUACUUGUUUCAAUGGGCUUUUACAGCCCUUUGCUUGGCCCCGCCCCCUUUCUUCCGUCCGAUUACAAUGCACAGCGGGAAGCACCAUUCUCGGUGCCGCACAAAUGUAUUUUAACAGCCAUUUACAAUCUUAAAAAAUUAACAUAAUAUAAAAAUAUACUUAUGACACAGAAUAUAUGUCAUAAGUAUCUUCUUUGUAUUAUUUUAAUUAGGAAUGACAGGGGAGGCACUGCCUCCCCUGACUGCACGUCCCUGCUACACCUGUAUAUAGUAUUGGAUUAAAACAAAAGUAAUGAUUAAA